UGUUCCCAAGAGAGAACCGUUCAUCGAAGCUUGCUUUUCACUUCGUCACUUCGUCUUCUACACAAGAUGAAGCAUGCUUUGUCUUUCUGCAAUCAUUCAAGUAAACUUUUCGAUUCAUAUUCUCUUGGUACCUUUCCUCCAUUUCGAGAACAGAAACGUUAUAUAAACCCCUAAUCCCCCAUGGAAAGAACCAUAAGUUUCAACCAUUCAUCUUCUCAAUCAUCUCCUCCGUCAUCUCCUCAUUCACUACUCUCUGCAAUUAAAUCACAGAUGGGUUCUUCAGGCUUUCCAGAUUAUAAUGAUUUCGAAGAAGAUAUGAAUCGUGAAGAAGAGCAGAAUCAUGAAGAAGAGCAAGACAUUGACAGUACUGGGCAACAAGCUGCUGCAACUACAUAAGUCAUUGAAACUCAUGAUUGUGCUGGAAAGAGGAAGGACAUUCCAGAAUCAAGUGGAGCUAAUCCAAAGCCACCUAAGGAGCUCAAAGUCAUACUUCUAAGAUCUCUUGUUUGGGACCACUUCACAAGGAAUAAAGAAGAUAGAAACAAGUGUAUCUGCAACUACUGCAAGAAGGAAUACUGCUGAAAAUAAUCAUGAGGCUUAGUUAUUCUCAUAAAAGAAAAGGUAUCUAUCUUUGUAUUGGUCUUCUUGUGUGGUGUUUUUCUAAGGCAUGGAUUCGGCAAUAGUAAAGGAACAUGGAGCAGCACUGCAGGCUGUGACCUUUUUGUUAGUGUAGAUGCUUCUUCAUUGUUCCAAAUUUUCAUUCGGCUCUUUGAACUUGUUGUAUCUUUUGUUUUAAGUUGCUUGUGAGGUUAUUGAACUUGAUGUUAUGAUGAAACUUAUGAUUAUGGUUUAAAUUUAUGGUUUACUCGGUUA